UCACGGCGCAUGCGCAGUGUUUGAAAGCGAUGGCGGCGCUCACGGAGGAGGCGAUUCGGGAGCGAGUCACUCUGCGGCAUCAGAACCUCGCUGAUGUCCGAUCAUUGUCUCUUCCUGGAACUUAUCAUGAAAAGAUUACUCAUUUAGGAAAUUCUCUGAAAAAUUUCACUCGCCUAAAAUCCUUAGACCUCUCUCGCAAUGCAUUGGCUAGCUUGGAGGGUAUUCAGCAUCUCAUAUUUUUAGAAAAGCUCAAUCUCUAUUACAAUCACAUUUCAUCACUAUCAGAAAUAUUUCGACUUCAUAGUUUAACUGCACUCAAGGAUGUGGACCUCCGUCUGAACCCUGUAGUUAAAAAUGAGUCUGAUUAUCGUCUUUUUGUUGUGCACAUGCUUCCUAACCUUAGACGAUUAGAUGAUCGACCAGUGAGAGAUAGUGAACGAAAAGCAUCCCUUUUGCAUUUCACCACAGAUCAUGCAUUUGAAUUAAAAGAUUCUUCACCGACAGCAAAAGUGAAUGAAAUUGAAAGAUCUGGCCAGCCACGGAUAGCAUAUAUUAACUCCAUGUCAAGGAAGUGUUCAGUGAUGGAUGAAGAAGAUGAAGCAGUGCUAAACUUAAUUACAAAGUGUGAAUGGGACUUGAGCAAACCUCUUGGAAUAACAGGAUCUGCUAAAAAGGAUCCUGAAGUAGAAUUUCACAGCUUACAAAGUAUUCGCAAUAUUGAAGAUAAUGUUGGCAUUCCUAUGAAUAGGAAAUCCGAAACCAGACCCAUCAGCCUACAAAUGCGGAAGCAACAAGCAAAUAUGCCUAUGGAUGUUAGUUCAGAAAACAGAAAUGCGUUGAAAGUUCAGGAAACUGACGAAGAGUUCAGAAGUUUGCCUGAUUGUUCACCAACUCUGCCUGUUGUACAUAAUACCAUUAAUCAAGGGAAUGAGAAAAGGAAAAAUAGCACCAAAGUUACAUUUUCAGACAAUAAGAGUCAAGAUCUUCCUAAGAGAGAUCCUAAUCUGAAAUUUCAAGAUGAGGCUGAAUCUUAUAAAAAAAUUACAACCCAUGCCAAUUUCACACCCCAUCCAGACUCUCAAGAAAUUUCUUCUCCAGUCCUCUCCUCUCCAAAGAUGCAUACACAGGCUCAGAAGAUUUUUAAUACAUUAUCAGCAUCUAGAUUACUUUGCAAUAGAACACAUAAUGGAGGAGGCCAACCAAUUCAGAACCAGACUUACUCUGCAGCUUUACAGAAAAAUAAUGGCCAACCUAAUGUUAGUUUGAAUGUGUCUAAACAAGAAACAAUACAAGAGAGUGGCAGAAACCAUCCUCCUUCCAUUCAGGGACCUGGACCUGAAGAGCAAAGGCCAAAUAGCAAAACUUCAGAUGUCAGAGAGGUGUUUGAAACACAUCAAGUAGCAACUCAGUCAGCUAAUAAACAUCUGUAUGAAGCAACACCUAUGGAACAUCUCCUGGACUUAGUGGACAAAUAUUGGAAUGGUUAUAAAUCACUCCACUGCAAUGAGAAAUUUCUUUCUCAGGCAGGACCUGUUUUGUCUGCAAUGCAGAAAUCUGCACCUGCAGAUCAACAAAAAGAUUCUGCAACAAUGUGUCAGGAGGUGAAUAAUCUGGUAGAGAAAAAGAUUUUACAAAGUCGUUUGUCUGAACAAGAUCAACAAUACAACACAAAGAUUAAUGGUCUGAUGUCAGAACUGAGCAACUCUCAAAAAGACAUGGAUAUCUUGAAGCAACGUUUAGACCAGUUGUUGGAAGAGAACACUAACUUAAAAGCUCAUCUGUUAAAUGUGGAACAGAAUGUCAAAAAUGCAGACAGUUCUAGUUCAUUACAUUUGCAACUUACUGAUCUGCAAAAUGAGACUCAACAGUUAAGAAGUGAAAACAUCAACUUGAAACAGCGUCUUCAGCACUAUGAUCAGAUUCAGGAGCUCACAGAGAUGUUGCAGGAAAGUCACAGAAUUUUGGUUUCUACCAAUGAGCAUCUCCUGCAAGAAUUAGCAGAGACACGUACACGGCACAGGACUGAAGUUGAGCAGCUACACUGGAGUUACAAUCAGUUAAAAAAAACAAUGGAUAAACAUCCUCCUAGCAACAUGGACAACAGCAGGUGUUAGUGACAAUCCAAGGAAGUUUUGUUGUAAAUGAUUUAUAAGAGGGGACACCCUUGAGUUUAUCUGACUGUGUGAGCAAACAUUUACAACUGCACCAUGAGUUGAUGUAUUUGAUACCUUUUAUUUAUUCAGAAUUGUUUUUCUGUCUUUGUUAAUAUAAAUUGUUCAGCAGAGAUUUCCCCAGAACAAAUCUUCACUUUCUUUUUUACAGAAACAUGGAUGUGCAUGAUGGCAAUUUAAACCCAGUCAGAAAUUUUGGUUGAGCACUUUCAGUCCAGAACUCAGGGCUACCUAAAGCUAAAUAGUCAAUGAAAUGCACUGGUGCCAUGCUUUAGCCAAAAGGAUCUUCGGACGGGAAUCCCUAAACUGCUGAAAAUUAUGAACUUUGAAGAGACUUUUGAGUUUAAAGAUACCAAACAGAAAACCAACAAUAAAUCUCUUACUGAAACCACACAGUUACUAGGAAAUUUUGGUGAACUGCAAAUAUAAAUCUGGUGGCUUUAUCCUGGCCAGUCUCCCCUGUGUAAAAUAUUUACUUAAUCUGGACUCACAAAAAUAUUUGAUUACAAUUCAUGUAAUUGCUCAUGCAGAAGAGUUGUUAAAGCAAAAUCGCCCUUUUAAAUGCAGGUGAUAUCGUAAGGCUGUUACAGCUUCCAUGGCCAUAAAUAAAAGGACAAAAACUUUAAUUACUGACUGCUGUAUAGAAAUGUGAUUAUAAGGAAGAAAUCCUGAAGCGUGGGGGAACUACACUGACUAAAUAUUAAAGCACAUCAUGUACUCAAUCAUUUUUUAAACUAGCACUAUAGCAAGAAUCAAAUCUGAUUUUUGUGUAACUUCAUUUUUUAAAAGUCCAUUUGUUUCCCCCAGUCAGCACUUUAAUUUCUUGAGUCCUGAUCUUGCAAAGACUAAUAAUGCACGUGCUUAACUUUGCACACAGGGCGGAAGGUUAAGCACAUGUGUAAGGCUUUGCAGGACUGGGCCCUGCCUUAGUGUUAAUGGAAUCAUAGGCAUAGUUAUGACUUCUGUAUUUUGGGGGGAAGAGGGCAGCUCCAGUCAGGCCCACAGUGCCUGCCCCAGGCUUGCAGUUUGCACGAGGGGGAAGAGAGAGAAUGCCCUUGGUUCCCUCAAACUAUGCCCAUGAAUGCAAUUGAUUUUUAAAUUAAUUGUGUUUUAUUUGUUUAAAAUAUAGAUUUUGAUCUCUGCCAUAUCACAUUUGAAGUAUCUUAUGUUUCAAUACUAUGAGCUUCAAAAGGAUGUAAAAUCAAAUUACAAAUGAAAACAAAAGAUGAGGACUGCAAGGUUUGUACAGUGACUUUUGUGUGUGUGUGAAUUGAGAAGCACUGGGUGCUUCAAAUCAGACUGACAUGAAUGCCCAGUGAGAUGGAAUGGACUUAGAUGCAUGGAAAAAGAUCACAAGCAGAAAACCUGCAGCGUACACAAAUCCUGACUAGGGACUGUGCCAUUUACCCAGCCUAGAGUAAUGAUGUACAAUAGAAGCACACCUUCGACUACACUGCUUAAUGGAGUGCAGCUUGCUGCCUCCUACACAUAUUACUGUUAUCCUCUGCACACCCUGCUCUCCAAGUGCAGGGGCUGCAACUGUGCCUGGCCCUUGUGCAGGCUACAAAAGGGGCAGGCUCUUUGCAUCCUUCCCACACUGAGCACCUUUGUAAGGGCUAGGCAGACACUGAAUCUCAGAAAGUAAGUGUCACUGUUUUGUGUUCUCACCUCCAGUUAGCAGCAGAGAAAAGACCCAUCACAAAAGAUUUUCUUUCCUACUAUCUCCCCUCUUCACCCUCAUUUUAAAGUAACUUCUUCACCUGUUCUUUUUGGUUUUUAAAAAUUGACAAUUGAAAAAAUAUUAAAAUAAAUAUGCAUUUAACAUUUUAAAAGGAAAUAUAUAAAUGCUUCUGUCAACCUAAUAAUGUUGCUGUCGGUGUUAUUUUCUUAAGGCCUGAUCCAAAGCCCAUUGAAGUCAGUAGGAGACUUUCCAUUGACUUCAGUGGUCUUUGGAUAAGGCCCUUAUAGAACAUGUUUCUUUUGGUAGGAACUUUGGUGGGCUAGGAAGGAUUCAAUUUUUAUUUUUAUAUGUUGGUAAACGUCCAUGUCAUCGCACACACGGACCAACAGAAAAUAUUUCCGUAGAUAAUCAUUAAAGUUACAAUAGGCAGCGUAAGAAAAAUGCUGCUUGAGAAUUUACUAGAAUUUGAUUUAAGGAUAUUUACUUUGUGUAUUACAACAUCACAUUACUACAUAUGAUGUUUACAAUUUGUGUUUUAACAGUUGCAAAGCUACCUUUUUUGACUUGCAACAUCAACUGUCAUUAAAUAAUUGUCUGACCACCCCCAACUGGGAAAAUUUAAAAAUUAAUAAAAAUUGGGGAAAAAAAUGCUUUAAAAUACUGAUAUCUGAUGAAAUUAAGAAAAAAAAUAAAAAUCGAAUUCUGCCAAGCCUAUUUCUACACCAGAAGUAGUGUGCAGUAACUAUAGUGAUAGUGUUGUUGGUGCUAUCAAGCUUGUCGAUGCAACAAAGAGUAAUUCAAUAUUUCUGUUCCUUGUCAGCAGGUAACUACGAGUUGCACCCACUAGCCUUAGGGUCUGGACCGGCACUCACUCCAAACAUGGAACUCCUGUACACAAUACAGAGUGUACAGUGCUCACAGUUUUUAUUAUAAAUAUUUGCACUGUAAAAAAGAAAUAGUAUUUUUCAA